rnacentral:rRNA from 1 species
UACGUAGGUGGCGAGCGUUGUCCGGAUUACUGGGCGUAAAGAGCGCGCAGGCGGCUGGUCAAGUCCGAUGUGAAAGCUCCCGGCUUAACUGGGAAAUUGCAUCGGAAACUGCUCGGCUUGAAGGUGGGAGAGGGUAGCGGAAUUCCCGGUGUAGUGGUGAAAUGCGUAGAUAUCGGGAGGAACACCAGUGGCGAAGGCGGCUACCUGGCCCAUUCUUGACGCUGAGGCGCGAAAGCUGAGGGGAGCAAACGGGG